ACCCUCGUGGUGUAAUGGCUAGCACACUCGACGCAUAUUCGAGAGGUCCGAGGUUCGAAUCCCGGAGAGGGCA
rnacentral:tRNA from 1 species